ensembl:lncRNA
CUCUGUGCCCGACCAAACUGUCAGUAAUUUUGCUGAGAACAGACAUCGGCAGGAGGCUGCUCUUGCACUGCGAGAGCUGGCACCGAGCUCUCAGCGGUACGAGCCGUCUGCUGGUCGCUCAGUGCUGCCUGCUUGGAAAUGGGAGCAGACAAAGGUCCAGACCAUGGCAUUGUGACAUACAUCUCAGCUUCAAGGCCAGAUCACUGCAGUGUGCCCCCAAACCCACAUGGCUGGGGCUGCUGCAGCGGGAGGAGAAGCUGGUGAACCCUGCACUUGGCAAAUGGCACUAGCAGGAAUUGACAUGGGAGACAACCAAGCUGCAGACUCCAGAGUAAGCAAUCGCAUGAAGGAAAAAAAUAGAUAUUAAUAUAGUUUAUUAACCUCCUUAGCUACUGAGGUUGAUGUAAUAAAACGGAUUAAUCAGCUGGUGGGAGAGUUUCUUUAUUUUAUAAAAUCAACAUCAAACAAGAUUUUCGGGGGGGAAAGGUUCUGUCCCAAAUCACUCGCCCAGCAAACAUCUCUGCGUGAAGCCCUCCACAGAAGCGAGGAGUGGGCUGUUUUAUUUUUGAUAAGCCAGGUGGACAAGAGCUCAUCUUCCCACAGUAACCCAGCGACUCAUGAGCCACAAGAGCUCUGGGUCUUAGGGCACAAACUGCCUUCAGAUAAACAGCAGUGCUUUCCAUGUGCCAUGCCUUAACGAGGA